GAAGGAAAUUAAGUACGGAAGUUCCUGAUUUCACGCUGUCAAGAAAAGCCUCUAGGAAGAGUAGUACUGCCCGUACCGCAAACCGACACAGGUAGAUGAGGAGAGAAUCCUAAGGUGAGCGAGAGAACUCUCGUUAAGGAACUCGGCAAAAUGACCCCGUAACUUCGGGAGAAGGGGUGCUCUAUUAGGGUGCAAGCCCGAGAGAGCCGCAGUGAAUAGGCCCAGGCGACUGUUUAGCAAAAACACAGGUCUCUGCAAAACCGUAAGGUGACGUAUAGGGGCUGACGCCUGCCCGGUGCUGGAAGGUUAAGAGGAGUGCUUAGCUUCGGCGAAGGUACGAAUUGAAGCCCCAGUAAACGGCGGCCGUAACUAUAACGGUCCUAAGGUAGCGAAAUUCCUUGUCGGGUAAGUUCCGACCCGCACGAAAGGCGCAACGAUCUGGGCACUGUCUCAACGAGAGACUCGGUGAAAUUAUAGUACCUGUGAAGAUGCAGGUUACCCGCGACAGGACGGAAAGACCCCGUGGAGCUUUACUGCAACCUGAUAUGGAAUGUUUGUACCGC
rnacentral:rRNA from 1 species